CCCAUUCAGUUCACUAUGUUAAGAUCUUGAUGUUUUUCUACCAUUCCGUGGUCAGACCAACAAAGAAGUAAGGAGGAUCCCAGAAGACCAGUAUCUAGAAGCACUGACAUCUUUUGCUUUUUUAUUUUCCCAUGACAUGAUACUUUCCAAUCUCAUAUUUUAUGUAUGUAUUUAUGUAUUUAUAUGUGUGUUUUAAGACAGUACAGUAGAGUCUCACUUAUCCAACACUCGCUUAUCCAACGUUCUGGAUUAUCCAAUGCAUUUUUGUAGUCAAUGUUUUCAAUACAUCAUGAUAUCUUGGUGCUAAAUUCGUAAAUACAGAAAUUACUACAUAGCAUUACUGCGUAUUGAACUACUUUUUCUGUCAAUUUUUUUGUAUAACAUGAUGUUUUGGUGCUUAAUUUGUAAAAUCAUAACCUAAUUUGAUGUUUAAUAGGCUUUUCCUUAAUCUCUCCUUAUUAUCCAACAUAUUCAUUUAUCCAACAUUCUGCCGGCCCGUUUAUGUUGAAUAAGUGAGACUCUACUGUAUAUCCAAAGACACUGAUGUGAAUGAUCACAUCGACCUGCCAUAGACUGACGGGCUGGGAUCCCAUGGGCUGGGAUCUCUUGUCUGGAAAUCUGAAAUACUCCAAAAUUCAAAAUUAUCUGCAUAGGUGGCUAAGAUAGUGACACCUUUGCUUUCUGAUGGUUCAAUUUACAUGUUUCGUGCACAAAAUAACUUAAAAUAUUAUAUUAAAUUACCUUCAGUCUAUAAGGUAUAUAUGAAAUAUAAAUGAAUAUGAUGUUUCGACUUUGGUCCCAUCUCCAAAAUAUCUUCCUCACUGUGAGAGCUGUUCGGCAGUGGAACUCUCUGCCCCAGAUUGUGGUGGAGGCUCCUUCUUUGGAGGCUUUUAAGCAGAGGCUGGAUGGCCAUCUGUCGUGGGUGCUUUGAAUGCGAUUUCCUGCUUCUUGACAGGGGGUUGGACUGGAUGGCCCAAUUCUAUGAUUCUAUGAUUUCAUCAUGUGUGGAUAGGCCGGCUGGACUGCAUGUGGGCUUGUGGCCUUGUGUUGCUGGACUGCUGACCUAAAAGUUGGGUUGCUGUCCUGAAGGUUCCUGGUUCGAAUCCGCAAGACAGGGUCAGCUCCCAUCUGUCAGCUCUAGCUUGUGGGGACAUGAGAGUAGCCUCCCAGCAGAAUGGUAACACAUUUGGGUGUCCCCUGGGCAAUGUAUCUGUAGAUGGCCAAUUCUCUCACACCAGAAGUGACUUGCAGUAUGUUCUCAAGUCACUUCUGACAUGAUU
rnacentral:lncRNA from 1 species